CCCGCUGAACUUAAGCAUAUCAAUAAGCGGAGGAAAAGAAACUAACAAGGAUUCCCCUAGUAACUGCGAGUGAAGCGGGAAAAGCUCAAAUUUAAAAUCUGGUGGUGUUUGGCCAUCCGAGUUGUAAUUUAGAGAAGCGUCUUCCGCGCUGGACCGUGCACAAGUCUCCUGGAACGGAGCGUCGUAGAGGGUGAGAAUCCCGUCUUUGGCACGGACACACCAGGGCUUUUGCGAUGCGCUCUCGAAGAGUCAAGUUGUUUGGGAAUGCAGCUCAAAAUGGGUGGUGAACUCCAUCUAAAGCUAAAUAUUGGCGAGAGACCGAUAGCGAACAAGUACCGUGAGGAAAAGAUGAAAAGCACUUUGGAAAGAGAGUGAAACAGUACGUGAAAUUGUUGAAAGGGAAACGCUUGAAGUCAGUCGCGUCGUCCGAGACUCAGCCUCUCCUCGGCUUGGCGUACUUCUCGGCCAGGCGGGUCAGCAUUGAUUUCGCCUCUCGGAUAAAGGCGAAGGAAAAGUGACCCCUUUACGGUGUGUUAUAGUCUCUCGUCGCAUGCGAGGGUCGGGAUUGAGGAACUCAGCACGCGCCCUCGGGCGUCGGGGCUUUCGCCCACGAUACGUGCUUAGGAUGUUGGCGUAAUGGCUUUAAACGACCCGUCUUGAAACACGG
rnacentral:rRNA from 1 species